rnacentral:rRNA from 1 species
AACGAACGCUGGCGGCAUGCCUAACACAUGCAAGUCGAACGAGACCUUCGGGUCUAGUGGCGCACGGGUGCGUAACGCGUGGGAACCUGCCCUUAGGUGCGGAAUAACUCCCCGAAAGGGGUGCUAAUACCGGAUAAUGUCUUCGGACCAAAGAUUUAUCGCCUUUGGAUGGGCCCGCGUUGGAUUAGCUAGUUGGUAGGGUAAAAGCCUACCAAGGCGACGAUCCAUAGCUGGGCUGAGAGGAUGAUCAGCCACACUGGGACUGAGACACGGCCCAGACUCCUACGGGAGGCAGCAGUGGGGAAUAUUGGACAAUGGGCGAAAGCCUGAUCCAGCAAUGCCGCGUGAGUGAUGAAGGCCUUAGGGUUGUAAAGCUCUUUUACCCGGGAUGAUAAUGACAGUACCGGGAGAAUAAGCUCCGGCUAACUCCGUG